rnacentral:rRNA from 1 species
UACGAAGGGAGCUAGCGUUGUUCGGAAUCACUGGGCGUAAAGCGCACGUAGGCGGAUGUGUCAGUCAGGGGUGAAAUCCCGGAGUUCAACUUCGGAACUGCCCUUGAUACAGCACGUCUUGAGUCCGGAAGAGGUGGGUGGAAUUCCUAGUGUAGAGGUGAAAUUCGUAGAUAUUCGGAAGAACACCAGUGGCGAAGGCGGCUCACUGGACCGGUAUUGACGCUGAGGUGCGAAAGCGUGGGGAGCAAACAGG